UUUUGUGCAAUGGGGGAAACCCGGAUCCAGCCAUCCCGCGUGUAUGAUGAAGGCCNUCNNGUUGUNANGUACUUUUGGCUGAGNNNNNAAGGUAUCUCCUAAUACGAGAUACUGCUGACGGUAUCUGCAGAAUAAGCACCGGCUAACUACGUGCCAGCAGCCGCGGUAAUACGUAGGGUGCAAGCGUUAAUCGGAAUUACUGGGCGGAAAGCGUGUGUAGGCGGUUCGGAAAGAAAGAUAUGAAAUCCCAGGGCUCAACCUUGGAACUGCAUAUUUAACUGCCGAGCUAGAGUAUGUCAGAGGGGGGUAGAAUACCACGUGUAGCAGUGAAAUGCGUAGAUAUGUGGAGGAAUACCGAUGGCGAAGGCAGCCCCCUGGGAUAAUACUGACGCUCAGACACGAAAGCGUGGGGAGCAAACA
rnacentral:rRNA from 1 species